ACCAUAUCAUGUUAAAAAACCAGUUCUCGUAUGAUCACCAAAGUUAAGCGAUGUUUAGCCUGGUCAGUACCUAGGUGGGUAACCACUUAGGAAUACCAGGUGCUGUAA